UAAAAGAAAAGAAACUUACCCCGAGUAUCAUCAGGUAAAAGGAUGAGAACAUCUCGACCAUCGUUCGGUUCCUUCGAUUCUUCCGAUCAAUCGAAAGAAGGGCGGCUUGGAAUAGUCGCUUGGCCAAUAUCAGAUUGGCCAAGGCCGACUCAUCUCCAGGUACUUGAAUGUCGAUGUGAACUGUGUGGCCCUCCGAUGCUACGUCUUCCACUAAAGUCACCGAAACUUUUCCUCGAUCUCUUGUCGGCAACCCCACA
rnacentral:lncRNA from 1 species